CCUACGGGGGGCUGCAGUGGGGAAUAUUGGACAAUGGGCGAAAGCCUGAUCCAGCCAUGCCGCGUGUGUGAAGAAGGCCUUCGGGUUGUAAAGCACUUUCAGUGGGGAAGAAAGCCUUGGGGCUAAUACCCUCGAGGAAGGACAUCACCCACAGAAGAAGCACCGGCUAACUCCGUGCCAGCAGCCGCGGUAAUACGGAGGGUGCGAGCGUUAAUCGGAAUUACUGGGCGUAAAGCGCGCGUAGGCGGUCUGAUAAGCCGGUUGUGAAAGCCCCGGGCUCAACCUGGGAACGGCAUCCGGAACUGUCAGGCUAGAGUGCAGGAGAGGAAGGUAGAAUUCCCGGUGUAGCGGUGAAAUGCGUAGAGAUCGGGAGGAAUACCAGUGGCGAAGGCGGCCUUCUGGACUGACACUGACGCUGAGGUGCGAAAGCGUGGGUAGCAAACAGGAUUAGAUACCCGUGUAGUC
rnacentral:rRNA from 1 species